rnacentral:rRNA from 1 species
CCUGGUGGCGAGUGGCGAACGGGUGAGUAAAGUAUCGGAACGUGCCCAGUCGUGGGGGAUAACGUAGCGAAAGUUACGCUAAUACCGCAUACGAUCUAUGGAUGAAAGCGGGGGAUCGCAAGACCUCGCGCGAUUGGAGCGGCUGAUAUCAGAUUAGGUAGUUGGUGGGGUAAAGGCUCACCAAGCCGACGAUCUGUAGCUGGUCUGAGAGGACGACCAGCCACACUGGGACUGAGACACGGCCCAG